UGGAUUUAUCAGAGACUCAUUCAGGAUGUUGUUUCCUUUUUCUUCCUCCCACAAUAAAAUCUCAGCCUUUUCACCAUCAGAUCGAAAGAAGAGGACUGUUUUUACAGAUUUUGCUUGAAUCUCUUUACACCACAAUGCUGCAGAAUUCUGGGUUCUGACUGGCUGAAAGGUGUUCAUUAAUCCCUGAUUUUGACCCUGAAGAGGAAAAUCACAAGACCUGAGUGUGAAGCAUUUAAGGAGCUUUAAAGAGAACAAUAUGCAGCUUUCUUGUGUGUUUUUUUAAUUAUUAUUUACACUUAGUGAUUUCUAUGUGUUCAUGACAAGUAAUAAAAUCUUUUUCAUUACUGUAAUGACUUAGAGAUAAAUUGUUAGUAAAUUGUGUGUAAUAGAUGAGUAACAGAUGAUUAAUGUGCUUUAUUGAUUAUUUGCAUUGUUUAUUGCAAUGACAGCAAACUACAGGGUGUGUAUUCGGUGAAAAAAUCUAAAGAUAAGAAAGAUAAAGAAAAACAGAUUCAUGGCCCAUGAGUACAUUUUUAUUUCUCAUGAUCAGUCAGCAGUUUUUUUUCUUCUCUACUCCAGCUAGCUGUUUCACUUGUUUGAUUUUUUUUAAAUCAUAAAAUAUAACUAAAGCAAAAGAAUUUAUGAGAAUGUGUGAAUUUAACACACACAUAAUAUCUGUUACAGUAUAUUAGCAGUACAAUGGGACCAAAUGAUCAGUUUGAAGAAAUUUAAAAACUAAUUAAAAAGAAAAAAGUAGUUCCUUGACGCCACCUAGUGUCUGAACCAGCAAUCUGAUUUUUUAUUUA